rnacentral:rRNA from 1 species
AGAACCCUACACUCGUAAUGACCCUCCGGGUAGUGAACCUGCGGAAGGAUCAUUACCGAGUGUAGGGUUCCUAGCGAGCCCAACCUCCCACCCGUGUUUACUGUACCUUAGUUGCUUCGGCGGGCCCGCCAUUCAUGGCCGCCGGGGGCUCUCAGCCCCGGGCCCGCGCCCGCCGGAGACACCACGAACUCUGUCUGAUCUAGUGAAGUCUGAGUUGAUUGUAUCGCAAUCAGUUAAAACUUUCAACAAUGGAUCUCUUGGUUCCGGCAUCGAUGAAGAACGCAGCGAAAUGCGAUAACUAGUGUGAAUUGCAGAAUUCCGUGAAUCAUCGAGUCUUUGAACGCACAUUGCGCCCCCUGGUAUUCCGGGGGGCAUGCCUGUCCGAGCGUCAUUGCUGCCCAUCAAGCACGGCUUGUGUGUUGGGUCGUCGUCCCCUCUCCGGGGGGGACGGGCCCCAAAGGCAGCGGCGGCACCGCGUCCGAUCCUCGAGCGUAUGGGGCUUUGUCACCCGCUCUGUAGGCCCGGCCGGCGCUUGCCGAACGCAAAUCAAUCUUUUUCCAGGUUGACCUCGGAUCAGGUAGGGAUACCCGCUG